UUGAAAAAGAACUUUGGAGAGAGAGUCAAAGAGACCGCGAAACCGUUAGGAGGGAAACGAAUGCAGCUCGAUGGGCUCCGGUUCGGGUUCAGGGGCGUUGGUGCCGCCGAAGCGGUUGGGCGGACUCGCAAGGGUCGUCUCUCCGCUUUSGGCGGUCCAUCGCUCUGCAUUCCCGGUCGGUAGYCGGUCAGCGUCGAUCCGGUUCGGCUCACGCGGGCGGUCGGGCAGGUGCCUCAAUGGGCGCGCUUGGCGUGCGCAGGGAGAACUUACAGCCGACCGCUCGGCAGCCGGACGUUGCGGACCGAGGAGUCGUGUGGUGCUUCACACAGGCAGCGCAGGCUCGUCUUCGGACGGGCCGGGUCUCUCCUGAUCGUUGGACGGGCGCGGCUGGGACUGCUCGCCAGUGCCAGUUCGACGUCCCGUCUCCUCGGUCGGGGGUUCGGCCACGCUUUGCGCUGCGGUCGCUGGCUUAAGGGCGGCUGCAUCCGACCCGUCUUGAAACACGGA
rnacentral:rRNA from 1 species